AAAGUGGACGACCCCACUUCACACCAUUUACUUUACUUAACCGCUCACCACAUUCUUUCCUUUUCAACCCUUCAUCUUCCAUCUUCUUCCUCAAUCCUCUGUCUAUUCCUUUCCUUUGGGCCCUCUCCUCACCAACCUCUUCAACUUCAAUUUCAAGUCCAAAAUGGGAAGCAAAGCACCAAGCUGGGCUGAUCAGUGGGGUUCGGGAAAUUAUGGAGUUGAAGACGACGACGACAAGGCAGUAACAAAGAAAGGAAGCAGUAAUGGCAAUAGUAGCAAGAAGAUGGCAGAGGUAAAGGCAGCAGCCUCAGCUGGAUUUGUGAAGGCAAAGGCUGUUGCAACUGUGGGUGCUCAAAAAGUGAAAUCUGGAACUUCAGUAGGCAUCAAAUGGGUCAAGAAUCAGUACCAGAAAAAGGUCGCCAAAUGAUUCUAUAUAUGUUUGGACUCUCAUCAUUUUUUUGUCUUCAAUAUAACUUAGUUUUGUGAAAAUAGACCCAAUAUGUCAUCCGAUUUUUUUUUUUAGUUCAUGGAGCUUCAAACGACAAAAUGAUACCAUAUCACAAACUGCUAUAAAUUCCCCUUAUUUA